AUGAGGAGCCCUGGGGCCCCACUCAAGCACAGGCAGGAGCAAGAGAUGGAACGGGAGACAGGAAGCGCCCGUCGACAGGGGCCUCACAGUGAACAGCCUGACCCGGUCCAAGUACUGCUGACACCCAGUCAGGAGGAGGAGGAGGACCAGGCCGCGCCCAGACAGGACUCAGCUUUGGGCCAGGACCCCACCCACCCUGGAGCUGCGCUUGUCCGGAGCAGCCCUCACCCCUGUGAACCUUGUAGGGAGGUGGAGCAGGACGGAGGGGUAGGGAAGAGAGGGGAGGAGGGUGAGGCUGGUAGGGAGGGGGUGGGGGUGAGGCUGUGCGAGUUGCUGCAGGUGGGGGGGGUGAGCGUCAGACCUCUGGGGAGACAUUUGGCCAUUUCCCUGCCCUCGCUUCCUCUGCGCCUCUGGGAUCCGCACGGCUCACACCUGGAACCCCUUCACACACACCCUCCCCCCCCAUCCUCGCCUCCUCCCCCACCUUCUUCUGUGGAAUCUUCUGGGCCAAGCAAACCUUUCACGCCCCUCUGGCAGCCCCCCCGGCCCCACUCGUCCGCCACGGCCGCUCCGCCCUGGCCACCCGACAGCACGCCUCACUGGUCCUCCUGGAGCCUGGACGGUCCCAACGCGGUGGUGACACCAUACGACACCCCCCCAGACCGCUGCAUCCCCAUCCAGACGCAGACCUCCGGCCAGCACGCCAGCUUCAGCUGCCAGUCCUCUCCGGGUCACUACAGCUCCCAGCAUGCCCUGGGGCGCCACAGCUGUGACCACGAAGAGGCAGAGCUGUCUGAGCUGGACUCCCUAUAUCAAGCCAGCCUCUUAGCUGGGAGGACAGGCUGCAGCCCGUCAGAGAGGCUUAUAUCCAGGGUGGGAGGGCAGGCUCGCUCCAAGACCCCCAACGCAGACAUGGAGAGGAGUGCGUACGGGGCGGACUGCACCAGAAGCCCCGCCUACCUCAACAAGGUGACGUCUAUGCAGGACUUCCGUUUGGGGGCGGAGCCUGAUGAUGGGGAGAACCCGAGGCGAAUCGGACGCAGCCUGAGCGGAACCGUGGUGGCGUCGCGUCGCGGUCGUCUGACCGCCACCCGCAGCUUUGUGAAGCAGGCUGAUGUCAGUCCCCUCUCCCUGCUUACUUCCUCUUUUCUGAGUCCCUGUUGCUCCUCCACCACCAUCACCUCCUCCAUCCUCCUCAUCACCAACACCUCCUAUCACCACCUCCCUCCUCCGCUUCACAGGAGGUGUCGGGCGGCGCCGGGGCCUUCUGGUUGUGUCUGA
ensembl:lncRNA